UUCAUGUCAUGUUUCAACAUGUUUCGAAAGGAUAGUAAUUAUGAUUAAAAACCGACAUUGAUACAUAUGUUUUAUUUCAUUAUCAUAUUACCAUAAUGUGUAAAUACUUAUAUAAAUGUCUUAUAUGUGUUAAAUAUGUAUACAUAUAUGUUUUAGCUGAACUAAAACUAAUGAAUUCUUCCAGAAGAGUUUACAGUGAUAUUAGUUUCGAUUUCAACAAGUCCAUUUAUGGAUUUGUGUAAACAUUGGCUCGGUCAGACCGACUAACGAAUAUGUAACGGAGAGAAAACGGACAAAAUAUGCAGAUUUUGGUUAUCCGGUGAUGAAAUUUACCUGCUCUGCCGCUCAAGACGCUCGCAAUCGGUGUGUGAAGCGUAGAAAAAACAAAAUGACCGCACAAGGUGUAACGGAAAUAAACGUACGUUUAACGGAUAUGUACCGGAUAAUUAACGGUCGGCUUACGGAUAUUACCAUGCGAGUAACGUACUUCUACCGGAUAAAACGGCAGUGUAGCGCAUUAGUACCGGACAAAACGUUCUCAGAACGUGAGAGAAAUGGAAAAGUACCGAACAUCAACGUACAAAAAACGGUCAUUUUAUGUCAUGCUUUAUUUAUAUUUUAAAGUAUCUUAAUUUUGAUUUGCUUUGUUUUUAAUGCAUAUGCUUGUUUGUUUCUGUAUUAUGAAUGUUUAUGUACACUAACGCCAAAAAUAAAAUAAAUAAAUAAAUCUUG